rnacentral:misc_RNA from 1 species
AAGUCGUAACAAGGUUUCCGUAGGUGAACCUGCGGAAGGAUCAUUACAAAUAAAGCUGGUAGGAAGUGGGGUCUUGAUCUGUAAGUGGUAGAGCGAACAGUCCGGCUGCCUCCCGAAAUGUCUUACAUGUCCCCACAGUCUGAAGGCCAGAAUUCACAACCUUAGAAUUCAUCUACACUUGUUGCUUUGGGGUUGACUCAAGUGCCCCAAGAGGACCCAACUCUCUUGCAUUUAGUGACGUCUGAGUACUAUAUAAUAUUUAAAA